rnacentral:rRNA from 1 species
UCUACGGGUGGCAGCAGUGGUGAAUCUUCCUCAAUGGGCGCAAGCCUGACGGAGCAACGCCGCGUGAAUGAAGAAGGUCUUCGGAGCGUAAAGUUCUGUUCUUAGGGAAGAAGUCUUAGGUUGUGAAUAAUGACUUAAGGUGACGGUACCUAUGGAGAAAGCUCCGGCUAACUACGUGCCAGCAGCCGCGGUAAUACGAAGGGAGCGAACGUUGUCCGGAAUUACUGGGCGUAAAGGGCGCGUAGGCGUGAACUUAAGUGAGAUGUGAAAACUCCGGGCUUAACAUGGAGACUGCAUUUAAAACUGGGUUGCUUGAGGGCAGGAGAGGAAAGUGGAAUUCCUAGGGUAGGGGUGAAAUGCGUAGAUAUUAGGAGGAACACCAGUGGCGACGGCGACUUUCUGGACUGUACCUGACGCUGAGGCGCGAAAGCAUGGGGAGCGAACAGGAGUAGAUACCCCAGUAGUC